CCUCCCCUCACGCCUCCCGCGCUUUUGCUCUUAGGUGCGAGUGUUGAGGAAUGUGCCCUGCUUGGGAAAAAGAAAUAAAUAAAAAAGAGAGGUGGGCGGGGAGUGGCAUCAUGCACUGUCCAGGCAGUGCACUCCCGUGUCCCCGUGGGCCGCUCCGGUUGUUUUCCGAGCAAUAGUUUGGGGAGGGCGCGCGUUUUCCAGCCUUGUCCUUGGACCUUUUUUCUGGAGCGGCCCUGGGGCCGCCAGGAGCACCGUCAGCCGCCAAGCCGGGGUGCGGGAGUGGGGACGCCGCGAGCCCGAUGGCAACGAGCCCAUGUGCUUUGUAGAGAAAGGGAAUUCCCCUGUGUGCUCCAAAAAUCACAGUAGAAAAGCAUUUUCCUUUUUUUGUACGCCGCCUUCUUGAAACCAGUAGGAGCAAGGAAAAUAAGCUGAGGACAGAGAAAUAAGACGGAGAUGGGUAUCCAUAACUGAGUUGUGCUUUAUGAAUACAAGGGGAGGGGCCUAACAACUCGCCUGAAAGGGUGGUAAGAGUUGGCGAAAUUUCUUACAUAUAUUUUUAUUUCUUUCAUUAUUACAUGUGUUUGUGUGUAUGAAAUGUAGAAAGCAAAAUUGUCUGGGACAGUAGCGGUCUCACAGUUGACAUUUGUUAGCCAACAAUCAAGUGAUAAAAGACUAAAUUCUUUUUAUAGUAAUAGCUUGUAGUGACCUUUCUCGCAAACAGAAGGACUUUUGAACUGAGUAUGGCUAAAAUAUGCAAGAGUUUGGAUUAGCCUGCGUGGAAUACCAAAUCACCAAAUAAAAACAGAUGUUUGUUAUAAUUAAAAUGUAGA
rnacentral:lncRNA from 1 species